rfam:Hordeum vulgare subsp. vulgare, WGS project CAJW01000000 data, contig: morex_contig_45777
CACAUGAAUUUGAGUGUUGGAUGGGACCAAAUCUUACUGCAGGGUGUCACAAGAUUUGGUUUCCUCCAAUAUCUUAUGUUCAUAUG